rnacentral:lncRNA from 1 species
CAUGCUUAAGGUACCUACAAAUGUCCCAAAUAAACCAAAAAUUAGUCCCGAGGCCUACUCGGCCAAUUUCAAAAAUCCAGCACGGCGGCUCCGUCAUGUUCUGACGACGGCGGUAGUGAUCCACCUCGAGUUGGCUAUUUUCGGUCAUUUUCAGCUGAAUUCAGCCAAAUUUGCAUCCGUUCCAGUGAGAAAACACACUUAGGACCCUCGGUUGGCUGAAAAAAUAUAAAAAACUGAAACUCACCAGCGGUGGGGCUCUUCGAUGCGGUGGCUCCUUCAACUCAUGUUACGGUUGGGUGUUUUGCUCCGGUCAACCUAUAGAGAAGAAAACAGUGAUCACAAUGGGGAAAAAAUUAUGUAAAAUGGAAAUCGGGAAGGGCCUCAUCGGAGGCAGUUUGUGAAAUUUUCCACGGCGGUAUUUUUCGGCUAAUUGGCCAGUUCUUUCACUUCGAUUUGGCCAUGGAUGGGUUUAAAAUUCAAUUUCGUGCAAGAGGGGAAAUUUUUACCUUUUUUGGCGGUCAGAAAAGGUUCUGGUGCAGCAGCGGGUGGCGACGGUCGGCUCCCCGGUGGCUGGGCUGUCUUCUUCAGUGAGGGGUUCUGGCGGUUAGGGUUAGGGUUUGGGUGUGGAUGAGGUUAUUUAUACCCAUCCAUUUUUGAUCUGGACCAUCCACUACUUUUGAUCUGGACCGUCCGAUCGUGAU